AUUGAACGCUGGCGGCAUGCCUUACACAUGCAAGUCGAACGGUAACGGGUUAAGCCGACGAGUGGCGAACGGGUGAGUAAUAUAUCGGAACGUGCCCAGUCGUGGGGGAUAACGUAGAGAAAUUUACGCUAAUACCGCAUACGAUCCAAGGAUGAAAGCGGGGGACCUUCGGGCCUCGUGCGACUGGAGCGGCUGAUAUCAGAUUAGGUUGUUGGUGAGGUAAAAGCUCACCAAGCCGACGAUCUGUAGCUGGUUUGAGAGAACGACCAGCCACACUGGGACUGAGACACGGCCCAGACUCCUACGGGAGGCAGCAGUGGGGAAUUUUGGACAAUGGGGGAAACCCUGAUCCAGCCAUUCCGCGUGAGUGAAGAAGGCCUUCGGGUUGUAAAGCUCUUUCAGCAGGAGCGAAACGGUAGGCUUUAAUACAGUCUGCUAAUGACGGUACCUGCAGAAGAAGCACCGGCUAACUACGUG
rnacentral:rRNA from 1 species